rnacentral:rRNA from 1 species
AGGUUACUUCGGUAACUGACCUAGCGGCGGACGGGUGAGUAAUGCUUAGGAAUCUGCCUAUUAGUGGGGGACAACAUUCCGAAAGGAAUGCUAAUACCGCAUACGCCCUACGGGGGAAAGCAGGGGAUCUUCGGACCUUGCGCUAAUAGAUGAGCCUAAGUCGGAUUAGCUAGUUGGUGGGGUAAAGGCCUACCAAGGCGACGAUCUGUAGCGGGUCUGAGAGGAUGAUCCGCCACACUGGGACUGAGACACGGCCCAGACUCCUACGGGAGGCAGCAGUGGGGAAUAUUGGACAAUGGGCGGAAGCCUGAUCCAGCCAUGCCGCGUGUGUGAAGAAGGCCUUUUGGUUGUAAAGCACUUUAAGCGAGGAGGAGGCUCCUUUAGUUAAUACCUAAAGUGAGUGGACGUUACUCGCAGAAUAAGCACCGGCUAACUCUGUGCCAGCAGCCGCGGUAAUACAGAGGGUGCGAGCGUUAAUCGGAUUUACUGGGCGUAAAGCGUGCGUAGGCGGCUUUUUAAGUCGGAUGUGAAAUCCCUGAGCUUAACUUAGGAAUUGCAUUCGAUACUGGAAAGCUAGAGUAUGGGAGAGGAUGGUAGAAUUCCAGGUGUAGCGGUGAAAUGCGUAGAGAUCUGGAGGAAUACCGAUGGCGAAGGCAGCCAUCUGGCCUAAUACUGACGCUGAGGUACGAAAGCAUGGGGAGCAAACAGGAUUAGAUACCCUGGUAGUCCAUGCCGUAAACGAUGUCUACUAGCCGUUGGGGCCUUUGAGGCUUUAGUGGCGCAGCU